CUGGAGCCCCCACCACCACCCACAGCCUCUGCAGGGGUGGACAGGGAUGCCAGCUUUCCCUGCCUCUGGGUAUGGACAGGAUGUUCUCAAAUCCAGGGCCUGAGUCAUCAGUCAAAACGUAUAUAUUCAGGACAACUGCAUGCUAGUCCCUAGAGGAUAAAGAAAUCAAUAGGACAGCCUAUAUCUUUGACCUGCUGGUAAAAACAGGUAUUAGAGGAGGCCAGGGGAAGCGAGAGGUGAGGAGUGAACUACUACCUAGGGAAGGCUUUCCCAGAAAGGUGAUGAAGAAACUGAGGCUGAGUGAGCUUAAGUACUCACUCAGUUCCUGGCUAAUCAACUGCACACCAACCCCCGGCCUGAUGGGCUGUAUGUGCCGUUCAUGCCAAUGAUGCAAGUCUGCGCUGGGUCUACAGUCAAGAGCCUUCAUUGUAUCCACAGGCCUGGAAACAUCUGAGCACUCUCUCCUUCAGAUGAUGGAUGGACAUUUAAACUUAAAAGUCUGGGAGCACCAGCAAUCCUUGGGAAUCCCCACUGUUUAUAAUUCUUCAUCAGAAAAGUACCUGUUUAUCCUAUUUUUUGUUUGCUGUUUCUAAGGACAAUUCCAAUUCGUGGCAAUUUCCCCCCACGUUCUGGAACAACUUACUAUUGUAAAUGAUCCUUGGGGUGGGACUUUGUCAGAAGGAAUUUUGAAAAGUCUAAAUGUAAUUCAUCCCUGGGUUUCGCCCUAAUCUCCAGGCUGUUUCUACCUCCUCAGAGAAUGCUAAUAAGACUGGUCAGUUUCAUGUUCUCUUUUUAGAAAGUGUGUUGUAAUUUGUCCAGUUAAUUGGGACUUCAGAAAAUGUUUAGUAUAUAUUCCACCAAAAUGGCUAUUAAGAGUGACCCUUCCUGGAUGGGUGGGCUCUCUACUUGGGCAGGGGUCCCAGUGUGCAUGCCCUUGGGCACAGGCCCGGUGUGGGAAGACAGUGGCACAUUUUGGCCACGAGGAUGUCACUUUAAUUACCACUGCUCCUUUCCCUGCAGACAGUCCUAGGAUAGAGGGCCAUGGAAUUUCCUUGACCUGCUGUUUCCAUAACAAUUUAGGAGAGAGUCUCUUCCUGCUUCUCUUCUUCCAAAGCAUCGGGAAUCUUGCGGUCCUUACUGUGGCAUUUAGAACCUAUUCACUGUUGAUUUCCGCAAGUCUUACUGCAGUGUGUUUCUCUCUCAUUUUCUUAGCUUUUGCUGUACACGUCUUUCCUCUCUGUGUGUGCACAUGAUUUUAUUGGCUUAUGUGCUCCCUCCCCACUAUGAGGGAUGUUUGUUCUUUGUAACUGAAGCAUACAGAUUUCAUUCCAAUAUUUUAAUGGAUUUUUUGAAACACAUUUCCCAGACAUUCCUAUAGUUUUCUUCAGAAGCUGAAGAAGUAUCUCACUUUUUUUCUGAAUUCUUUCAUGAGGAUUUAAAAACGCAUUAGCAGAUUUUAUUUGCUUGUGAGCAUGUCUUUAAAUGUGUGUGAUCAGAUUAGUUAACACUUUUCCCCCAUACAAGGCAGAUUCUUUUUACUUAUUUCUUUAUUAUUUUUCUCUUUUCCUCAUUCACCCAGCACUCACUGAGCAGGGGUUCUGGGGAUUCUCAGAUGAGCAGCUGUCCUGGUGCCCUCUGGGCAGCCCAGGGGGACAGUCAGAUGUGGAGACAGAUCAAACAGGACCACUUAGACUGCAAGGCAUGAUGUCACUAGUACCAGACUUGGUGACAUCUACAUUACCAUCAACCUCACACUCAAACACCCUAUGUCAAAAUUUCACCUCUUGCACACCCUACAUCAUAGCUGCCCCAUAGGUUAGUAUUCGUGCUUGGGAGUCCAUUUUGAGGAAUGGAGUCUGGGAACCAGUGGACCACCUUGGCCUGGGACAUCUAUAUGGACUGCGCCCCUCAGAACCUCCCAGAAGCACAGCCCUACUGGUAGGUGUGGACAUAUUCAUUGUGCUGGGAAGAUAUAAAAAGACAAAUGCUGGGAGGACACAUUUUCUGGGCUUUCCUUUUUCUUCAAUCUAGCAUCAAAUGUAUUAAAAAAAAAUUGAAACAGUAAUACACAUUAAAAAGUCAACUUCCUGUUAACAAAACUAGGUCACUUUACCUAUGGAGGUAAAUAAUUUACCUGGAGGCAGUAACUAGGAACAUUUUCAUGUACCUCUUUCAAGAUAUUUCUAUGUGCAUAUAAGCACAUAAAAGAUUAAUCAAUCUAGCCAGUUAUCAUUUAGCUAAAAACUAUUAGCAAUCUCCUGACUGCUCCCUCCCCAGUGGGUAUUUCCUAUUUUUUCUCUUUUAAAUAGUCCUAUGAAAGAGCUGAGUGCAGCUAAAGGGGAUUUACAGAUGCGUGAAUAGACAGACAUAAAUAUAAAAUAGUCCAUGUGAGGGAUGCCAAAACACGUUUAAAAACCUACACCUGCUCUUCUUCCUGUAUUUCACUUCCUGUUUAAAGAUGCUUAUUCUGUCCCUUCUCAUUUGGAAGUGAGACGACUCACCUUUACCUCAACUUACACUGCAGCAGGCAAGUAACCUGCCUGAGGUCACCCACCUGGCUUGGUGGCAGUGAGGUUUGGGUGGCUCUGUGUGACUCCUGGCGGGCACGCCACCACGGAGGAGCUCACCAACUCCUUCCCAGAAAUGAAGAUGUCUGGUCUCCCCUCUGUUAAACGUACUCCACCUUAUGUGUUCAUCCUCUUGCCCUGAACAGAAGCAAGGACUCCCCGUAUGUUCCCCAGCCUCAGCCCAGGCGAGGAUGCAGCCCUCCUGAUGGCCUGCUAGCAAUUUCUCGAGUACCAUUUCCAUGCUCUUUGGAUGUAACCUCCCCGCUUUUCUCACCUCUCCUUCUGAGUUUCUCAGUACGCUCUUGACGCAGCCACGUUUUGUAUUCUGGUACUUCUCCCAUCCCUCCCUACUGGGAUUAUAAACCAGAGGAUAAUUGCAGUUUCAGAUAGGAGAGUCUCCCUCCCCUCACUUGCCUCUCGAGCGUCCUGUCUGCUGUGACUCCGGAGCACCCCUGUUCUCUGGCCUGCAGCUUGUGAGGUCUUCUGCCUACAAAGCCCAGUAAGAAAGUGACAGCAUUUGUGAGCUGCUUAAUUGUCAGUGUUGAGACUGAGACUUUCUAGACAUUGCAGUGGAUGUGGGGAAGGAGAGACUCCUGGGAUUUGGGGUGGCUUCACCUCUGGCCAUGUGGCCCCUGCAUGUCCUGUCCUACCUCUGGACCCUUAUAGGUUCUUAAUCUGCAGAUUCAUGGCCUGGCUGCCCCAGGCGGGUCUCCCAGCUCCACAGUCUAGUGUCUAGGAAUCCAGAGGAUGGUACUGGUUCUGUAACUAACCGGCCUUGCCCAUACCUGACUCCAAGGAGCCAUUCGGGGGCCUCAUCUGUAACAUUUCUGGGUUCCCAAGCAAAUCUGUAGCUGAGCAAGGAGGAAAUAGUAUUUGACGAGUAAUGUUUUUGGUUUAGCAUCAGUAUGAAAUUCAUCAGCAAUAAUCCCCAUCAAUACUACUGUACACCUGAAACCAUGCCUUCAAAGCAUCUCUUGUUUUAAAGCAACUUUUGGGUGUCCUUACCAAGCCACACCAGGCCCCUGUCAAUGGAGAACAGACCACCCAGCAUUUACC